rnacentral:rRNA from 1 species
GAUGAACGCUGGCGGCGUGCCUAAUACAUGCAAGUCGAGCGAACAGAUGAGGAGCUGCUCCUCUGACGUUAGCGGCGGACGGGUGAGUAACACGUGGAUAACCUACCUAUAAGACUGGGAUAACUUCGGGAAACCGGAGCUAAUACCGGAUAAUAUAUUGAACCGCAUGGUUCAAUAGUGAAAGACGGUUUUGCUGUCACUUAUAGAUGGAUCCGCGCCGCAUUAGCUAGUUGGUAAGGUAACGGCUUACCAAGGCAACGAUGCGUAGCCGACCUGAGAGGGUGAUCGGCCACACUGGAACUGAGACACGGUCCAGACUCCUACGGGAGGCAGCAGUAGGGAAUCUUCCGCAAAGGGCGAAAGCCUGACGGAGCAACGCCGCGUGAGUGAUGAAGGUCUUCGGAUCGUAAAACUCUGUUAUUAGGGAAGAACAAAUGUGUAAGUAACUAUGCACGUCUUGACGGUACCUAAUCAGAAAGCCACGGCUAACUACGUG